AGCCUUUCGGGGUGGAUUAGUGGCGAACGGGUGAGUAACACGUGGGCAAUCUGCCCUGCACUCUGGGACAAGCCCUGGAAACGGGGUCUAAUACCGGAUACGACACAUCACUGCAUGGUGAAUGUGUGGAAAGCUCCGGCGGUGCAGGAUGAGCCCGCGGCCUAUCAGCUUGUUGGUGGGGUAAUGGCCUACCAAGGCGACGACGGGUAGCCGGCCUGAGAGGGCGACCGGCCACACUGGGACUGAGACACGGCCCAGACUCCUACGGGAGGCAGCAGUGGGGAAUAUUGCACAAUGGGCGAAAGCCUGAUGCAGCGACGCCGCGUGAGGGAUGACGGCCUUCGGGUUGUAAACCUCUUUCAGCAGGGAAGAAGCGAAAGUGACGGUACCUGCAGAAGAAGCACCGGCUAACUACGUGCCAGCAGCCGCGGUAAUACGUAGGGUGCGAGCGUUGUCCGGAAUUAUUGGGCGUAAAGAGCUCGUAGGCGGCUUGUCACGUCGGAUGUGAAAGCCCGGGGCUUAACCCCGGGUCUGCAUUCGAUACGGGCAGGCUAGAGUUCGGUAGGGGAGAUCGGAAUUCCUGGUGUAGCGGUGAAAUGCGCAGAUAUCAGGAGGAACACCGGUGGCGAAGGCGGAUCUCUGGGCCGAUACUGACGCUGAGGAGCGAAAGCGUGGGGAGCGAACAGGAUUAGA
rnacentral:rRNA from 1 species